UUUCUGGAAGCGUUGUCUUCGCCCUAAGUUUCGGCCUUAGUUAAGGAUUAUUUUAUCCCCAGAAGA
rnacentral:tRNA from 1 species